rnacentral:tRNA from 1 species
GCUAACGUAGCUUAAACAAAGCAUACCACUGAAGAUGGUAAGAUAGGCCCCAGUAAGGCCCCGCUGGCA